UAUGAAAAUGUUUUGAUAGUCAAAACACCCAGUUUGAAGGAAUUUCCUUUAUUCCUAGCAGACAUAUGAAAUACCACAAACCAGGUCUUAAAGUGAAAUGAAAAAUGAGGGAAAUGAUCCAGAUCUUCCCAUUAAAAAAGACAGUUUAUUUGAGUGAGAACAGGGCUUUACUCUGGCCCUUGCCAUCUUCAACACCUGCCUCUCAGGUGCCCUCCUGCAUGGAAGGAUCCAGUGCCUCAGAGGACACAGCAAGAGGUGAGAAAAGCCACAUGUACUGACAGCUUAAACCAGCAAUUCCCAGCCACCCUCACCCCACCUAAGCAUCAACCAAUGGAAAAUCUUCACUGAUCCCUAACAAAGAACUUCUGGUUCUGGGGCGCUUUGGUGGUUCAGUCGCUUAAGCAGCAGCAUCUGCCUUCAGUUCUGGUCAUGACCCUGGGGUCCUGAGAGGGAGUCCCACAUCAGGCUCCCUGCUCAGCGGGGAGGCUGCUUUUCCCUCUUCCUCUGUCACAGCCCCCUUGUGCUC